rnacentral:rRNA from 1 species
UACGGGGGGAGCAAGCGUUGUUCGGAUUUACUGGGCGUAAAGGGCGCGUAGGCGGCCACCGCAAGUCAGUUGUGAAAUCUCUGGGCUUAACCCAGAAAGGUCAACUGAUACUGCGGGGCUAGAGUGCAGAAGGGGCAACUGGAAUUCUCGGUGUAGCGGUGAAAUGCGUAGAUAUCGAGAGGAACACCUGCGGCGAAGGCGGGUUGCUGGGCUGACACUGACGCUGACAGCGCGAAAGCUAGGGGAGCGAACGGG